GUCUUCAUAGUGUAAUGGUAACACAUCCCAGACGGAAUAGUAAUCUCCCUUGUGAACUAUCUGGGCAUCCCGAGUUCGAAUCUCGGUGAAGACA